rnacentral:rRNA from 1 species
CCUACGGGUGGCAGCAGUGGGGGAUAUUGCACAAUGGGGGAAACCCUGAUGCAGCGACGCCGCGUGGGUGAAGAAGCGCCUCGGCGCGUAAAGCCCUGUCAGCAGGGAAGAAAAUGACGGUACCUGAAGAAGAAGCCACGGCUAACUACGUGCCAGCAGCCGCGGUAAUACGUAGGGGGCAAGCGUUAUCCGGAUUUACUGGGUGUAAAGGGGGCGCAGACGGCGAUGCAAGCCAGGAGUGAAAGCCCGGGGCCCAACCCCGGGACCGCGCUUGGAACUGCGUGGCUAGAGUGCAGGAGGGGCAGGCGGGAUUCCUGGUGUAGCGGUGAAAUGCGUAGAUAGCAGGAGGAACACCGGUGGCGAAGGCGGCCUGCUGGACUGCAACUGACGUUGAGGCCCGAAAGCGUGGGGAGCAAACAGGAUUAGAGACCCGGGUAGUC